rnacentral:lncRNA from 1 species
UAGGGGGAGUGUGUCGGGAAAAAGGUUGACAUUAAUAAUUAGUAGUUAAAUUUAGAGAUGAGGUGACUGCCAUAUAUGGAAAUUGAUUGACAGGCAUGAGAUAAAAGGAAUGUUGUUAAUUGUUAUUGCAUGGGGAAUAUAUAUGUAACUGGGAGCGAUUUGGGAAGGGAUUAUAAUACAAAACACAAGGAAAAAACGCGUAAUUUUGCUCUUAUUGUGGGGAUCGAACGAAAAUCUACCACAAUCGAACUAAGUUAACUCACGG